rnacentral:rRNA from 1 species
GAUGAACGCUGGCGGCGUGCCUAAUACAUGCCAGUCGAGCGAACGGACGAGAAGCUUGCUUCUCUGAUGUUAGCGGCGGACGGGUGAGUAACACGUGGAUAACCUACCUAUAAGACUGGGAUAACUUCGGGAAACCGUAGCUAAUACCGGAUAAUAUUUUGAACCGCAUGGUUCAAAAGUGAAAGACGGUCUUGCUGUCACUUAUAGGUGGAUCCGCGCUGCAUUAGCUAGUUGGUAAGGUAACGGCUUACCAAGGCAACGAUGCAUAGCCGACCUGAGAGGGUGAUCGGCCACACUGGAACUGAGACACGGUCCAGACUCCUACGGGAGGCAGCAGUAGGGAAUCUUCCGCAAUGGGCGAAAGCCUGACGGAGCAACGCCGCGUGAGUGAUGAAGGUCUUCGGAUCGUAAAACUCUGUUAUUAGGGAAGAACAUAUGUGUAAGUAACUGUGCACAUCUUGACGGUACCUAAUCAGAAAGCCACGGCUAACUACGUG